rnacentral:rRNA from 1 species
UAAAAAAUUAUUUAUUUUAGGUAGUAACAGAUUUCUUGAAACCUAAAGAAUUUGGCGGUAUUUCAAAUAAUUAGAGGAACUUGUUCAUUAAAUGAUAAUCCGCAUCAUAUCUUACCUAAAUUAAGUUUGUAUACCGUUGUUUUCAGGUUAUGUUUAAAAAUUAUAACCAAAGUUAAAUUAAUUUUAUAAAUCAAAUCAAGGUGCAGCAUAUUUAGGUUUUAAUGAGUUACAAUAUAUUUAUAUAUAAACGGAUAAGUGAUGAAAAUGUUUUUGAAGGUGGAUUUAAAAGUAAUUUGAAAUUAAAAUGUUCAAAUGAAUAAAAAUUUGAAAUAUGC